UGGGGAAUAUUGCACAAUGGAGGGAACUCUGAUGCAGCAACGCCGCGUGCGGGAUGACGGCCUUCGGGUUGUAAACCGCUUUCAGCCAUGACGAAGCUUUUGUGACGGUAGUGGUAGAAGAAGCACCGGCUAACUACGUGCCAGCAGCCGCGGUGAUACGUAGGGUGCGAGCGUUGUCCGGAAUUAUUGGGCGUAAAGAGCUUGUAGGCGGUUUGUCGCGUCGAUAGUGUAAACACGCAGCUUAACUGUGUGCCUUCUGUCGAUACGGGCUGACUAGAGGAGGGUAGGGGAGAAUGGAAUUCCCGGUGGAGCGGUGGAAUGCGCAGAUAUCGGGAGGAACACCAGUGGCGAAGGCGGUUCUCUGGACCUUUCCUGACGCUGAGAAGCGAAAGCGUGGGUAGCAAACAGG
rnacentral:rRNA from 1 species